CCGGCGCACGGGUGAGUAACGCGUAUGCAACCUGCCCGUUUCAGCGGGAUAACCCGGAGAAAUCCGGCCUAAUACCGCAUGUGGCCGAGGGGAGGCAUCUUCUUUCGGCCAAAGGAGGCGACUCCGGAGACGGAUGGGCAUGCGUGACAUUAGCUAGUUGGCGGGGUAACGGCCCACCAAGGCGACGAUGCGUAGGGGUUCUGAGAGGAAGGUCCCCCACACUGGUACUGAGACACGGACCAGACUCCUACGGAAGGCAGCAG
rnacentral:rRNA from 1 species